AGAGUUUGAUCAUGGCUCAGAACGAACGCUGGCGGCGUGCUUAACACAUGCAAGUCGAACGCGAAAGUUUUCUUCGGAAAGCGAGUAGAGUGGCGCACGGGUGAGUAACGCGUAAGUAAUCUACCCUGGUAUCUGGGAUAACCAACCGAAAGGUUGGCUAAUACCGGAUACGCUGGUAACAGGAAAGGUGGCCUCUUCAUGAAAGCUACUGUACCAGGAGGAGCUUGCGUACCAUUAGCUAGUUGGUAGGGUAAUGGCCUACCAAGGCGACGAUGGUUAGCGGGUCUGAGAGGAUGAUCCGCCACACUGGAACUGGAACACGGACCAGACUCCUACGGGAGGCAGCAGUGAGGAAUAUUGCGCAAUGGGGGAAACCCUGACGCAGCGACGCCGCGUGGAUGAUGAAGGCCUUCGGGUCGUAAAAUCCUGUCAGAUGGAAAGAAGUGUAUAGAUGUUAAUAGCAUUUAUAUUUGACGGUACCAUCAAAGGAAGCACCGGCUAACUCCGUGCCAGCAGCCGCGGUAAUACGGAGGGUGCAAGCGUUGUUCGGAAUUACUGGGCGUAAAGCGCGCGUAGGCGGUUUUAUAAGUCAGAUGUGAAAGUCCACGGCUCAACCGUGGAAGUGCAUUUGAAACUGUAUUACUUGAGUACUGGAGGGGGUGGUGGAAUUCCCGGUGUAGAGGUGAAAUUCGUAGAUAUCGGGAGGAAUACCGGUGGCGAAGGCGACCACCUGGCCAGAUACUGACGCUGAGGUGCGAAAGCGUGGGGAGCAAACAGGAUUAGAUACCCUGGUAGUCCACGCCGUAAACGAUGUCAACUAGGUGUUGGGGCGGUUAAUCGUCUCAUUGCCGGAGCUAACGCAUUAAGUUGACCGCCUGGGGAGUACGGUCGCAAGAUUAAAACUCAAAGGAAUUGACGG
rnacentral:rRNA from 1 species